rnacentral:rRNA from 1 species
GUGCAGCAGGCGCGAAAACUUUGCAAUACACGAAAGUGUGACAGGGCUAUCCCGAGUGCCAUCCGCUGAGGAAGGCUUUUACCCAGUCUAGAACGCUGGGGGAAUAAGGAGAGGGCAAGUCUGGUGUCAGCCGCCGCGGUAAUACCAGCUCUCCGAGUGGUGUGGAUGUCCAUUGGGCCUAAAGCAUCCGUAGCUGGCUGAGUUAGUCCCUUGUUAAAUCCACCGAAUUAAUCGUUGGAUUGCGGGGGAUACUGCUCGGCUAGGGGACGAGAGAGGCAGACGGUAUUUCUGGGGUAGGGGUGAAAUCCUAUAAUCCCGAGAAGACCACCAGUGGCGAAGGCUGUCUGCUAGAACGCGCCCGACGGUGAGGGAUGAAAGCUGGGGGAGCGAACCGGAUUAGAUACCCGGGUAGUCCCAGCCGUAAACGAUGCAGACUAGGUGUUUGGACGGCCACGUGCCGUUCUAGUGCCGCAGGGAAGCUGUUAAGUCUGCCGCCUGGGGAGUACGAUCGCAAGGUUGAAACUUAAAGGAAUUGGCGGGGGAGCAC